rnacentral:sRNA from 1 species
UGGCUGCCACGGGCGGUGGGCGGGCGGAGGAGAGCACCGGACCACCAGUGCAGGCUGCCGAGUCGGGGCGGCCGCCCGCGGGGAAGCUGCGAGGCGCGGGAGCACCUGGGGGACCGCUCGCAGCGGGGACGCGAGGACCCGGGCUGGGCUUUCCUCACCCUGGUACCUUGUUAUCCCAUAACUUUGGUAUCCUGAAAUCUGAGGAUUCCAACAAGAUAAUAUGAUAAGAACUUUCAGUGAUUUGGGGCCAUAUCCUACUUAGACUAAUGUGGAAUUUCCAGAUUUCCUGAGAGUUUGGUACAGCAGCACACACUGCUUGCUAAUCAGCACAGGCAAUAAUGCCAUCUCUGCCUCAAGAAGGAGUUAUUCAGGGACCCUCUCCCCUGGAUUUGAAUACAGAAUUACCUUAUCAAAGCACAAUGAAAAGGAAAGUCAGAAAGAAGAAAAAGAAGGGAACCAUUACAGCAAAUGUUGCCGGGACAAAGUUUGAAAUUGUUCGUUUAGUAAUAGAUGAAAUGGGAUUUAUGAAAACUCCAGAUGAGGAUGAAACAAGUAAUCUUAUAUGGUGUGAUUCUGCUGUUCAGCAGGAGAAAAUUUCAGAGCUGCAAAAUUAUCAGAGGAUCAACCAUUUUCCAGGAAUGGGGGAGAUCUGUAGGAAGGAUUUCUUAGCAAGAAAUAUGACCAAAAUGAUCAAGUCUCGGCCUCUGGAUUAUACCUUUGUUCCUCGAACAUGGAUCUUUCCUGCCGAAUAUACUCAAUUCCAAAAUUAUGUGAAAGAAUUGAAGAAAAAACGGAAGCAGAAAACUUUUAUAGUGAAACCAGCUAAUGGUGCAAUGGGUCAUGGGAUUUCUUUGAUAAGAAAUGGUGACAAACUUCCAUCUCAGGAUCAUUUGAUUGUUCAAGAAUACAUUGAAAAGCCUUUCCUAAUGGAAGGUUACAAGUUUGACUUACGAAUUUAUAUUCUGGUUACAUCGUGUGAUCCACUAAAAAUAUUUCUCUACCAUGAUGGACUUGUGCGAAUGGGUACAGAGAAGUACAUUCCACCUAAUGAGUCCAAUUUGACCCAGUUAUACAUGCAUCUGACAAACUACUCCGUGAACAAGCAUAAUGAGCGUUUUGAACGGGAUGAAACUGAGAACAAAGGCAGCAAACGUUCCAUCAAAUGGUUUACAGAAUUCCUUCAAGCAAAUCAACAUGAUGUUGCUAAGUUUUGGAGUGAUAUUUCAGAAUUGGUGGUAAAGACCCUGAUUGUAGCAGAACCUCAUGUCCUGCAUGCGUAUCGAAUGUGUAGACCUGGUCAACCUCCAGGAAGCGAAAGUGUCUGCUUUGAAGUCCUGGGAUUUGAUAUAUUGUUGGAUAGAAAACUAAAGCCAUGGCUUCUGGAGAUUAACCGAGCCCCAAGCUUUGGAACUGAUCAGAAAAUAGACUAUGAUGUAAAAAGGGGAGUGCUGCUAAAUGCAUUGAAGCUACUAAACAUAAGGACCAGUGACAAAAGGAGAAACUUGGCCAAACAAAAAGCUGAGGCUCAAAGGAGGCUCUAUGGUCAAAAUUCAAUUAAAAGGCUCUUACCAGGCUCCUCAGACUGGGAACAGCAGAGACACCAGUUGGAGAGGCGGAAAGAAGAGUUGAAAGAGAGACUCGCUCAAGUACGAAAGCAGAUCUCACGAGAAGAACAUGAAAAUCGACAUAUGGGGAAUUAUAGACGAAUUUAUCCUCCUGAAGAUAAAGCACUACUUGAAAAGUAUGAAAAUUUGUUAGCCGUUGCCUUUCAGACCUUCCUUUCAGGAAGAGCAGCUUCAUUCCAGCGAGAGUUGAAUAAUCCUUUGAAAAGGAUGAAGGAGGAAGAUAUUUUGGAUCUUCUGGAGCAAUGUGAAAUUGAUGAUGAAAAGUUGAUGGGAAAAACUACCAAGAUUCGAGGACCAAAGGGUCGAAUAACUCAUUAUGUAGUCAAGCUCUUUAAGAACACUUAAAGCUGUUUGCUACAUGAAGGAAGGCACUACUAGCAAGCCUGAUUGUGCCACUGUUUCUUCUGGAAAACAAGCAACUAGUAUACAACUGAAGGAACCUCUCCCAUCAGGAAUGGGAGGCAUAUGCCUCUGUGUUCUAUGCCUGAGAGUACUGAGAUAAUGAAAAGACCGAAAUACUGCAGCAGUGACAGCAGUUAUGAUAGUAGCAGCAGCUCUUCAGAAUCUGACGAAAAUGAAAAAGAAGAGUACCAAAAUAAGAAAAGAGAAAAGCAAGUUACAUAUAAUCUUAAACCCUCCAACCACUACAAAUUAAUUCAACAACCCAGCUCCAUAAGACGUUCAGUCAGCUGCCCUCGGUCCAUCUCUGCUCAAUCACCUUCCAGUGGGGACACUCGCCCAUUUUCUGCUCAACAAAUGAUAUCUGUGUCACGGCCAACUUCUGCAUCUCGGUCACAUUCCUUAAACCGUGCUUCCUCCUACGUGAGGCAUCUGCCUCACAGUAAUGAUGCCUGCUCUACCAACUCUCAAGUGAGUGAGUCUUUGCGGCAACUGAAAACAAAAGAACAAGAAGAUGAUCUAACAAGUCAGACCUUAUUUGUUCUCAAGGACAUGAAGAUCCGGUUUCCAGGAAAGUCAGAUGCAGAAUCAGAACUUCUGAUAGAAGAUAUCAUCGAUAACUGGAAGUAUCAUAAAACCAAAGUGGCUUCAUAUUGGCUCAUAAAAUUGGACUCUGUAAAACAACGAAAAAUGAAGAUAUUUUCAGUUUGUAUGAUGAUGAGAAUGAUUUAGAAGAGAGGAAUGGCCCAGGAAAGAGAGGUGAUAAAAAGUUCUUGAGUUUUGGACAUAGUGAAAACAAGCAUUCGUACAGUUCUUCCACGCAUCUGGAAGGUGCCUGAUGUCGAAGAAGUAAAUUUAUAUCGGAUUUUCAACCGGGUUUUUAAUCGCUUACUCUGGAGUCAUGGCCAAGGGCUCUGGAACUGUUUCUGUGAUUCAGGUUAGGUGUAAAAUCUUAGAAAAAUAUAAUCCAAGUCUUUGAUUAUAUCCAAGAAUCCAAGGCCUUGAUUCUUGCCUUUGCAUGUCAACAUCCCCAACAAUAAAACAAAAUCCUCUUGGGAGAGUAUAUUCAAUAAAAGCCCGGAGGUGGUGACUCCUUUGCAGCUCCAGUGUUGCCAGCGCCUGGUGGAGCUUUGUAAACAGUGCCUGCUAGUGGUUUACAAAUAUGCAACUGACAAAAGAGGAUCACUUUCAGGCAUUGGUCCUGACUGGGGUAAUUCCAGUAUUUACCUUUAAGGGACUGAACAAGGACGGCAAUCACUAACCUAAAGGUGAUAAAACAUACUUGGAAAUAAAGUUAUUUGACUUAUAUACCUUCACUUUCAAAAGUCCAGAGCAAGAGCAUCCAAAAAUGUGAAGCUGGUUGAUCACAAUAAUAGCAGUGGUAAAGAUUUCAUAAACUAAUUUCUGUUGAUGGAUCUUGUAGCUUUUGUGGGUACACAAAGUAGGAUGAGUCUUCUUGGUUACAUUGGAGGAAAAAGAUAUGGCCAUUUGUGAAACAGAAGGGAAGAUCACCAUUGGUUAUACAUAACAGCAAUUCAUUUUUUUCCCCUAAAGUUGAACAUGCAAAGAACAUGACCAUUAAGUGCUGUUUUAUGUAUAUAAGACAUAUAUAUGUGUGAAAAUAUAUGCACAUAUGCACCCAAAUAACAUAUAUUUAUUAUAUUAAAUAAUAUAUGAAAGAAGAAUUAGCAGAAAAUGGAAUAUAAGACUUAACCUUUCUGGAAAUGUAAUAAACCAUGUUAAAAUUGUUUACACAAAUAUGUGAAUGUCUAGAACUUGCUAGGUUUAUAAUUAAUUCCUUCCUACUAGAAAUGUUAUUUUUGCUGCAGAGUAUAUAAAACAAAUUGAUCUUGAAGAUCCAAUUACAGUGUUAAAUUAUUUUCUAGAUAACAUGCCUUUUGACCUGAAAAAGGGUUUAGUAUAAUACCUUAAAAAUUCUCAUAUAUAGUAGCCAUUUUAAAUGAAACAAAAAGAUUUAGAAGCCUGGUGUUGCUUGAUGAUAAGAUUAAGAAGUUUAAAACGGGUUUAUCAUUACUAUAGCACACUGUAAAGUACUAGAAAAGUCAUAACCUGAUUCUCUAACCUUUUUAUUCCUCUAUGUGGAAAUUUAGCUACUUGUAAUAAUGUACAUUUUCAGUAAGGAUCUGGUAAGAUCAUACUAUGAUCUAAAAUGAAAGACAGGCUGGGUGCGGUGGCUCACGCCUGUAAUCCCAGCACUUUGGGAGGCCGAGGUGAGUGGAUCACCGGAGGUCAGGAGUUUGAGACUAGCCUGGCCAACAUGGUGAAACCCCAUCUCUACUAAAAAUACAAAAAUCAGCUGGGUGUGGUGGUAAGUGCCUGUAAUCCCAGCUACUUGGGAGGCUGAGACAGGAGAAUCACUUGAACCUGGGAGGCGGAGGUUGCAGUGAGCCGAGAUCGUGCCAUUGCAUUCCAGCCUGGGUGAUGAGAGUGAAACUCUGUCUCAAAAAUAAAUAAAUAAAUAAAUAAAUAAAUAAAUAAAUAAAUAAAUAAAAAGAUUAAAUAAAUAAAAUGGAAGACAAUCCAAUGGGUUAAAAAUAAAAUGUAAACUAGCUUUCAUUUUUACUUUUCAUAGAGAAUCACAUAAAGGAACAGAAAAUGAUGGUAACAAAAUCUUUCUAUAUGGCUUUUAUGUCUUAUACCACUCAUUUUUAUUUGGAAAGUAUAUCUUUGAUGGGUUUAACAUAUGGUUAAAUACAAUUUCUCCUGUUUUGCAGAAGUAGAAGAGCUGACACAUUUCGCUCAUUUUAGUGUUAUAGGAUAAUGAGACAAACUUAUUUUUAUAAAUCUCUCAAGGUUGAAAUCAACUUAUAUUUGCAAAGUCUAAUACAGUAGUUUCUCAUUGCACCACAGAAACAGUUAAAGGAUUGUGAAUAGAAGAUUUCAAUGAUCACAUAUUACAAGUCAUCAGUGUACCCUUGAGGGUUUUUAAAAAAUCAAAGCAGAGAACGAAGUGUUCUUGUCCAAAAGUUGUUAUGCAUAAGUUUCAUAGCAGUUUACUUCCUUUUCUUAAAUACAGUUUUUAAAACCAAGAAUGAGCUUUCAGUUUUCCAUAAAAAUAUAAGCUGUACUACUUUGACAUUGAAAUAAUCAGUGCAGCCAUCACUUCUUAGAAUUUAUUUAAACUUCUUCUCCCAACAGUUUUAUUUUCUCCUAGCUGCUAAUUAUUUUCAAAAUUCAUGAACGUUUUACCUCCUUUUGCUAUUCUGAAAGUUAUUUCAAGAAGCGGCCCCAAAGCAGGAGAACUGAGAGGGGCAAAUUGGCCUGGUUUAAUUCACAGCCUGAAUAAUUGGCAACCUAAAGUUGUAAGUUAUAGAUGUAUUUUGCUUUUCAAGCCAUCUUCUGAGCCUUUUUUAGGCUGAAAUGAUUUGUUUCUUUCCCAAAUUAUUGCUAGCUACUUGAUUUUUUAAGACUACCUAACAUCCACAUUUGGUAGAUACUUUUCCUCUGUGCAUGCAUCCCGAAGAAGAAUUUGCUAUUUGUGGAAGAAGAGGAUAAGGGUAUCAGAAUGAAGGAAAUUACGUGACUACACUGUUUGUGACUCCAUUUUGUGAAUUCUUAAAUAUGUUAUGGAUUUUUUUUAGAAAAAAUAAUGCAAAAAUUGGGAUAUUACAGAAUCACCAUAAGGAUGGUCAACAAGUAAUAAGUCUUUUCAUGGAGUUCAUUUUUCUUUUAAAUUCAUGAUUUGGCCACAAAUAUAUAUAUAUAACUUUAAGUGUCUGAUAUAUGAUAACAGCCCAGUUUCUUGGCCACUCAUUUGCGUUAUCUUAAAUCACAAAUAAUUACUUAAUUUGCUGGAGUGUGAGCUUUGCAACUUUUGUACCAGAGCAAAAUUUUUAUUUAAAACAAAAAAUAAGAAUGUCCAUCACUAGGAGAAACACUCCUCCCAGAAAACACACACACACACACACACACACACACAAUUUAAAAACUGAGUAAAUUUAAAUGUAUGAAAGUACCCCACAAAUUGAUUUCAACAAAUAAAUUUCAUUUCUCUAGCUACUUAUGUCUGGCCUUAUUUUGAGUGUUACAAUUUUAUUGCCUUCCUUUGCCUAUUUAGACUGAUGUAGUUUGAUAUGAUGAAGUUGUGAAUAAAAGCCUUGUGUUCAUUAUUUAUAUAUACUACCUGGUAUGCUAUGGACUGUGUCUGCUGUAGUGCUAUUCCCUAAUGAGCAACUAAGAAGAGAAGACACAACAAUAAACCAUGGAAGUGUUGGGAGGCCAUGGAAAUGAUUUAGAGAUAUAAAAUAUUCCCCAGUUUUUAUUAUAAGUUUUUAUUCAUGGGUUAAAACAUAUCAGCAUAAGUGAUAGUACAGGUGUGACUCCCUUUUCUAGGAGAGAAAAUAGCUUUAUUCGAAAACUCCAAAAGCUACUUAAUCUUACAGAGGUUUUUAAUAGGGGAACUGGGUUUACUUACAAUGAAAGCAUAUUUUCAUUUUGCUAUAGAAAACAUAUCCUGCUCAUUCAGUAAAUCUAAGAUUGGAAUGCUUUCUAGAACUAUGCAAUAUUUGAAUAAUUUCUAGAAAUGUCUAAGAAACAACCUUUUUUAUUUGAAACCAUCACUUACAAACGUAGUCUGAGACUGCAAAUUAGUUUUCACUUGAAUAAUCCAUCAUUAUAGAUUAGUUACCAUUUGCUCUAUAUAAUCUAUUGAAGGAACUAUUGUUAUUCAUAUUUUGAUUAAUUUUACUAGCAACAAAUUUUUAUUUUAGUAGCAUUGCGUUUACCUUAAAUAUGUAAAAAUGAAGUUGUAACAGGAUCAAAUAUGGAAAUGGCAAUGGUAACUCUGCCUAGAACAUAGUUGAAUGUCCUUGGUUGUCUGUAAGAUGCAAAGAUCUAUACAAAUUUUAUCAUAGGUCAAAAUUAUUUCUAAAUACACAGUUUCAACUAUUUCUUCCUCCCUAAAACUAAAACCAAACCAAACCCAAAUGAAGAAACCUAAACUUCUUUUCAUCUAAUAGUUAUACCCAACUAGAUAGAUAAUAGUAGCUUCUAGACAUCAAUAAAAAGAUUUUAUUUCAAUUGUCUUUUUAAUUUGUAAAAUAUAUGAGUAUGGAAUUUUGUAUCUAACUUGAAAUUUCAGAUGUUUUAAUAAUUCAAAUACUUUCUUCUUUAGCAUGUCAAAGUACUAAUAGUUUAAAAAUCUCUUUAGAUCUAAGCAUAUACAUUACUCGACUUUUUCAAAAGUAUCAAAAAAUUGAUAGCUGCAGAAAUGUCAUUAUUUGAUUUUCUAAAAAACAUUGAUUCAUUCUUAAAUGUAUAUUCUUUAAAAAAUAGUAAAUACCUCAAGAGUGACAGAAAACUUUCCUUUUCCGUUCUGUAAUGCUAAUUUAAACUUUGAGUCUUAGUUUACAUGGUCAUAGGGGUUAAAUAAAACGUAUAAGUGUACAAUUAAUUGUGUUCUUGUGACCUGAUGAUUUUUUGAAAAUUUGCUUUUCUCUUUAAAUUAAGAAAUUUAAGUUUUCAAGGGCCACAUUAGUUAUCUAAAUAUUUUGGGCUAAUGUUGACUUAUAAAUAAAUAAAAAUUUAGAAAUAUAUUCAUGAUGACAAUUUUGUUACUUACACUGCCUAUUCUUUAUUUCUUCUUUUUUAGUUCAAAGGUGAAAUUUUGACCUUUGUAUUAACAAAGCCUCAAGAAAAGAGAAAUUCUGCCUUUUAAACAUUGGUUUUCCUUGCAUUUUAUGGUGGUGUGCUUUUGCCUCAGCAAUAAUAAAACAUAAAAUAUGUUGUUGCAUCAAGUUCAGUUUGUCUGCUGAGAUUAUUUUUAAGAACCAGGUUGAAGUCUCUAUGCCUAAAAAAGCAUUUAUUGUCUGGAUCCAUAUAAAGCAAGAUACAUGGCUACAAAUAAGUCUUGCAACCAAAAUUGGUAUAUUAAAAUUUACUGCACACUUUGAGAUUGCUGCCAUUUUUUGGUGCUUUUUGGACCUCGUCAUAAAGGGAUGUAUCGUAUAUUGAGGGAAAAUUACUCAAGUUACACAUUCUACAUUAACUGCGCUGUAUUAUCUACAGCUACAAUCAAUGGACCAAUGGUUCCUAAAUUAGUAAUAAGGCUUACCUUACAAAAGUAAUGAAAUAACACUGAUAUUUCUCUUUCAAAGGCUAACAGCAAUUCUUGGUCCUGAGCUAUUCGGUUCAUACAGUAACUACUGUACAUGCUACAACAUCUGAAUAUUAAUGGUUUUGCUGCAGAUUCUGGGUAUGAGGAUUAGCUUAAAAGCAAUACAUUUGCUAACAUGAAUCAUGACUCAUAUUAUCCCCAUGUGCUUUACUACCUGUAUUUGAAUGCAAAUGUUGUUACAGAAAAUAUGCUUGAAAUGUCAAUACAGUGUGCAAUUAGUGUUGCAUUGUCAUGCUCCAGCAUGUGAUAUCUGUAUGGUGAAGUUAUUUCAAUUACUCUGAUAUGUUACUAUAAUAAAAAAGUUUAACCUAAGAAA